GAGUUUGAUCAUGGCUCAGAUUGAACGCUGGCGGCAGGCCUAACACAUGCAAGUCGAGCGGAUGACGGGAGCUUGCUCCUUGAUUCAGCGGCGGACGGGUGAGUAAUGCCUAGGAAUCUGCCUGGUAGUGGGGGACAACGUUUCGAAAGGAACGCUAAUACCGCAUACGUCCUACGGGAGAAAGCAGGGGACCUUCGGGCCUUGCGCUAUCAGAUGAGCCUAGGUCGGAUUAGCUAGUUGGUGGGUAAUGGCUCACCAAGGCGACGAUCCGUAACUGGUCUGAGAGGAUGAUCAGUCACACUGGAACUGAGACACGGUCCAGACUCCUACGGAGGCAGCAGUGGGGAAUAUUGGACAAUGGCGAAAGCCUGAUCCAGCCAUGCCGCGUGUGUGAAGAAGGUCUUCGGA
rnacentral:rRNA from 1 species